rnacentral:rRNA from 2 species
GAUCCCAUCCCGAACUCAGCAGUGAAACGAUGUAUCGCCGAUGGUAGUGUGGGGUUUCCCCAUGUGAGAGUAGGUCAUCGUCAAGA